rnacentral:rRNA from 1 species
AGAGUUUGAUCAUGGCUCAGAACGAACGCUGGCGGCAGGCUUAACACAUGCAAGUCGAACGCUCGUAGCAAUACGGGAGUGGCAGACGGGUGAGUAACGCGUGGGAACAUACCCUCCGGUUCGGAAUAGCUCAGGGAAACUUGGAUUAAUACCGGAUACGGCUGAGAGGCGAAAGAUUUAUCGCCGGAGGAUUGGCCCGCGUUCGAUUAGCUUGUUGGUGAGGUAACGGCUCACCAAGGCGAUGAUCGAUAGCUGGUCUGAGAGGAUGAUCAGCCACAUUGGGACUGAGACACGGCCCAAACUCCUACGGGAGGCAGCAGUGGGGAAUAUUGGACAAUGGGCGCAAGCCUGAUCCAGCCAUGCCGCGUGAGUGAUGACGGCCUUAGGGUUGUAAAGCUCUUUCGCUCGGGACGAUAAUGACGGUACCGAGAUAAGAAGCCCCGGCUAACUUCGUGCCAGCAGCCGCGGUAAUACGAAGGGGGCUAGCGUUGUUCGGAAUUACUGGGCGUAAAGCGCGUGUAGGCGGGUCUUUAAGUCAGGGGUGAAAUGCCAAGGCUCAACCUUGGAACUGCCUUUGAUACUGGAGAUCUUGAGUCCGGGAGAGGUGAGUGGAAUUGCGAGUGUAGAGGUGAAAUUCGUAGAUAUUCGCAAGAACACCAGUGGCGAAGGCGGCUCACUGGCCCGGAACUGACGCUGAGACGCGAAAGCGUGGGGAGCAAACAGGAUUAGAUACCCCCGUAGUCC